AGCCCGGUGGUGUAGUGGUCAAUCAUACAGGCUUUUGGAGCCUGUUACGGCGGUUCGAAUCCGCCCCGGGCUA
rnacentral:tRNA from 1 species